rnacentral:rRNA from 1 species
AUUGAACGCUAGCGGGAUGCUUUACACAUGCAAGUCGAACGAGUGGCGGACGGGUGGUUAAUAUAUCGGCCCGUGCCCAGUAGCGGGGGAUAACUACUCGAAAGAGUGGCUAAUACCGCAUACUAUUGGCGCGGCCGAUAUCGGAGUAGCUAGUUGGUGGGGUACAGGCUCACCAAGGCAACGAUCCGUAGCUGGUUUGAGAGGCCGACCAGCCACACGGGGACUGUGGGACGGCCCAGACGCCUACGGGAGGCAGCAGUGGGGAAUUGUGGAAAAUGGGGGAAACCCUGAUCCAGCCAUCCCGCGUGGAUGAGAAGGCCCUAGGGUUUUAAAGUACUUUCAGUCGGGAGGCGUUACCGAGAGAAGAAGCACCGGCUAACUCCGUGCCAGCAGCCGCGGUAAUAC